rnacentral:lncRNA from 1 species
GGCAAGGACAGUUUGCAGUAGCUCUAGCCCUAAGACAGACACAUGUGCAGGACACAGCCACGGUAAAGGCUGCAGAGCACAUGGAAAUUGAAGCCAUGUGGGACUUAACAAGAGAUCAAAUGGUAUCUUAAACAUCCCAGGGCAGCUGCCCUGUCCCCAGAGCCUGGGGCGGCCUCUGUGAAGGGGCCCCUCUUUCCUGGUGUUCUGGGUCCCUCUCCUCCCAGCUCCACUGCAGCAUCCAGAUUUCUCGAAGUGGCUGAUGUGUGUCUCAUGAUGAGUACUGAACAUCAUAAAAGGAGAAGUGACAAGCAAGCCCGAGUCUAGAGAGUAAGAGAAGCCACAGGCUAAGAAGUGGGACCAUGGCUUAGAAGACCAGAACAGAAGAAAAAGCAAGAGAUGAACAUUCUGGCAAAAACCAGACUACAGAUUUACAUUUUUUCUUUAUUAUUUUAUUAGAUAUUACCUUUAUUUUUAUUAUCUUUUUAAAUUAUUUUUAUUAUUUUAUUAUCUUUCAUUAUUUUUAUUAAAAUUCUUAUCACUUUAUUUUCUUUAUUCUUUUUUCUUUACUCUCAGUACUUCAUUCAGCAUCACCAUAUUUAAUGUUUCCUUACAACUGGGUCUUUUCUAUGGUUGUCCUUGGAUACACCCUUGUUGGUGGCAGAACCCUGUGGUUAGUUCUGGCCAAUGACUGAUGUGUGGAAGUGAUGUGUCUGGGCUGAUGUAUUGAAUGGCCUCUGGGAAGCAAGCAGUUGACAGGGUGACAGACAAAUGCUUGAAACAGCUUAUGCAGUGGAGGUUUCCUUCAGAGGACAAUUGCCCUGGGGACAUCUCUUGAUCAGGAUCUGACUUUGC